UUGAAUUUCGGGGUUCUACCGUUGGUCGGGCUUUGUCUGUACUGGCGUGUAGAAUUUCUACCUUGUGGGGAACCAUUAUGUUAUUAAUUUAGCGUGGUGGGAAACCAGGACCUUUACCUUGAAAAAUUAGAGUGUUCAAAGCAGGCUUAUGUCUGAAUACAUUAGCAUGGAAUAAUAGAAUAGGACGGUGGUCCUGUUUUGUUGGUUCCUGAAUCACCGUAAUGAUUAAUAGGGAUAGUUGGGGGCAUUAGUAUUCAAUUGUCAGAGGUGAAAUUCUUGGAUUUAUUGAAGACUAACUUCUGCGAAAGCAUUUGCCAAGGAUGUUUUCAUUAAUCAAGAACGAAAGUUAGGGGAUCGAAGACGAUCAGAUACCGUCGUAGUCUUAACCAUAAACUAUGCCGACUAGGGAUCGGACGAUGUUAACUUUUCUUGACUC
rnacentral:rRNA from 1 species